rnacentral:rRNA from 2 species
AGGAUUCUCCUAGUAACGGCGAGUGAACGGAGAUUAGCCCAUCACCGAAGUCUAUUCACUUUUGUGGACAGGACAAUGUGGUGUUGAGGCAUGCGCCUGGGAUCGUUGACCUGCUCCAAGUCCAACUCCGAUUGCGGCAUUGGAUAGUGUCCAAAGCGGGUGAAAGACCCGUUCGGGCAGGUAUAUUUGUUUGUAUAAACGAUCCCCAGAUGCGUGUGCCCUCGAGUCGGAUUGCUUGAGAAUGCAGUCCAAAGUGGGUGGUAAACUCCAUCCAAGGCUAAAUACUGGCACGAGUCCGAUAGUAGACAAGUACCGUGAGGGAAAGUUGAAAAGUACUCUGAAGAGAGAGUAAAUAGUACGUGAAACCGCUUGCAGGGAAUCAGUUGGAAUCAAGCUUAAUGCUUGGAGGAUUAUCAUGCGAUCGAUCCUGUGUCAGGACGUGAGGUAUUGCAACCUGGAAUAGGUUGGGCGUAUUGAUGCGCUUCAAGUCUGUCCGGGAAGCUUGUUUGACUGUGCCUCUAUCUCCUAGAUCGGAUGCUGAAUUCUCCUAUGCGUUGAUCAGGGUUCAUAGUGGAUUGUGUGCCUCGUGAUUUCCUAACAGUGCCAUUGCUGACUCUGGUUGGCUGGGCGCUGAAUGGAAGGUGAUGUCGCUGACCGAGUUCUCUUGGUUGGUGGCACUUAUUUCGGUCUCGACCGUCUGUUAAUCACGAUAUUGCAUCACCACUAUUGCAUGAUAAAAGCACGAGUAUUCAACCUAUUAGGUUGGUUGCUUAUCAAGACCCUGGUUCUGAGCUAGA